rnacentral:lncRNA from 1 species
CGAGCGCGCAGCCUGCUCCACCGCCGCCUCUUGGUCCCGCCGCCGCCGCUGCCGCCGCCGCCGGGCAGCUGGACGCCCUAUAGGGCUCUUGGCAGUCCACGAAAGACCUGGAGUCCGCCUCCCCAUUUCUCCGGUCGGUGAGUGGCAGGAGGAAAUCGCCAAACAUGUUUUCCCGCUUUGCCUCCCCAACUCGGAAACUUGCAACUUGCCGUGUCCUGGAGGUUGAGACAAUUUGGGGUCUCUUGGCUGCCGUCCAACAGAUUUAUCUCUGAGGGCAGUGUCCUUGGUGAGAGGUCCAAGUAGGUGUGGGCGACAUUGUCCUCCAUCUCAUGAGGGAGCAGCCCUGCACACUAGGGCCCAAAACUCUGCGAAGGAGCUUGGAAGUUCUUCAUCCGUUCCACUUGUUUUGCUACUCCACACACCCUUCUAGGACAUGUUGAUUGCCAACUGCUCUGUGCAGCUUUCCCAUAGCUGUCUGUUCCCGUGCAUUUCGGAGCACCAAGCAAAUACGAGCAGAGAGACCUGGAAAAAAAAAUGAUGAAGACAGUAUUAAUGAUAAAAUUAACAUGGCUGAGUGAAUUGUCAAUGCAAGUUCCUUUACUAACUCUUUGUUAAGUUUUGCUUUGUACUCCUUACAUCCUCUUUCUCUUAAGCCAUUGUUUUAAUUUCUUCUCGUUAUCAUUUUUAAAAGUAACAGAAAUACAGCUUUCUUCCUACCUUCACGAUUGACUUGGUGGAGGUUGGGUUGCAAAGAGGAAGCAGUAAGAAAAAAUAAUUAUUCUAUACAUUCACAAGUCCUUCAAGGCACAAAAUAAAAGUAAGAAAUAGAAAAUAUGUCCUUUCUCCUAAUAAAGGUCUUUAUAAUAAAAUUUAAAUGAAGUUUUGUGUUUCAUAACAGCUUCCCAAAUACUGUUGUAGAUACUAAAAUGUGCCUGUAUGUAUUUCCUUCCACAAUAAUAAUAGUAAUAAUAAACUUUUUUAGGUCCAAAUUAAACAUUUCUCAGCUUAAAUUUCUAUCCUCAAUCCAACAUUUAUUAUAUCAAAACUUGAUUUUUAAAAAUAAAACUUUCUUGGAAUUCAUCAUUGAUGUCUGUUUGAUGGCCUCGUGAACAUCAGGAAGAUGAAAUGAAAUGGUUCAAGACUGGAACAAUACCAUUAUCUGCAUCUUGACUCCUGGGAGAUAAUGAUAUCUCCUGCUUUCCUCUACAGACCUACCAGUUUUCUCUGCUUUAAGGGAAAAUCCAAAUGCAUGAGACCUGUGCAUUCUUCUACAUAAUCAAGAGUCUGGUUUCUUCCAUCGGAGUGUAUGGAGUUAAAGUGGUAUACUGUACAUGGCAUGGUGUGAUAGGUGGGAAUAUGAGCUACUGGGGGAAAAAGUUCUUACUUCUAGCCACUUAUACAAAGAGAGGCCAUCUCAGUGUAAUCUGAAAAAAUGCUCACUUUAUAAUGCUGUAUCCAAGGCCCAUCAAAAACUAAAUGGAUGUAUUUGUACUAAAAGUUGGGGAAAGUUGAAUAUCUAAACCUCUGAGCAAAUCUU